CGGGUAGCGGAACACGUACGCAACUUACCCUGAACUGGGGGGAUAGCCCACCGAAAGGUGGAUUAAUACCUCGUAACAUCUUGUAGUGGCAUCACUGUAAGAUUAUAGCUCCGGCGGUUCAGGAUGGGCGUGCGGCCCAUUAGGUAGUUGGUAGAGGUAACGGCUCACCAAGCCUGCGAUGGGUAACUGGUGUGAGAGCACGACCAGUCACACGGGCACUGAGACACGGGCCCG
rnacentral:rRNA from 1 species